CAACCCCAGUGAAGCCCUGAGGAGCCAAUUUAAGCCUUUUUUUAGCACAAAACAUUGAAUUUUGUGCGCUUUGAAUUUUGUGGAAAUCCAUCUAGGUGUGUCGGAUCUUGAGGCCAACCCCAGUGAAACCCCGAGGAGCCAAUUUAAGCCUUUUUUUAGCACAAAACAUUGAAUUUUGUGCGCUUUGAAUUUUGUGGAAAUCCAUCUAGGUUUGUCAGAUCUUGAGGCCAAGCCCCAGUGAAACCCCGAGGAGCCAAUUUAAGCUUUUUUUUAGCACAAAACGUUGAAUUUUGUGCGCAUUGAAUUUUGUGGAAAUCCAUCUAGGUGUGUCGGAUCUUGAGGCCAACCCCAGUGAAACCCCGAGGAGCCAAUUUAAGCCUUUUUUUAGCACAAAACAUUGAAUUUUGUGCGCUUUGAAUUUUGUGGAAAUCCAUCUAGGUUUGUCAGAUCUUGAGGCCAAGCCCCAGUGAAACCCCGAGGAGCCAAUUUAAGCUUUUUUUUAGCACAAAACAUUGAAUUUUGUGCGCUUUGAAUUUUGUGGAAAUCCAUCUAGGUUUGUCAGAUCUUGAGGCCAAGCCCCAGUGAAACCCCGAGGAGCCGAUUUAAGCUUUUUUUUAGCACAAAACGUUGAAUUUUGUGCGCAUUGAAUUUUGUGGAAAUCCAUCUAGGUGUGUCGGAUCUUAAGCUUUUUUUUAGCACAAAACAUUGAAUUUUGUGCGCUUUGAAUUUUGUGGAAAUCCAUCUAGAUGUGUCAGAUCUUGAGGCCAACCCCAGUGAAACCCCGAGGAGCCAAUUUAAGCCUUUUUUUAGCACAAAACAUUGAAUUUUGUGCGCUUUGAAUUUUGUGGAAAUCCAUCUAGGUGUGUCGGAUCUUGAGGCCAACCCCAGUGAAACCCCGAGGGGUCGAUUUAAUCUUUUUUUUAGCACAAAACAUUGAAUUUUGUGCGCUUUGAAUUUUGUGGAAAUCCAUCUAGGUGUGUCGGAUCUUGAGGCCAACCCCAGUGAAACCCCGAGGGACCAAUUUAAGCCUUUUUUUAGCAAAAAACAUUAAAUUUUGCUUUGAAUUUUGUGGAAAUCCAUCUAGAUGUGUCGGAUCUUAAGGCCAAGCCCCAGUGAAACCCCGAGGAGCCGAUUUAAGCUUUUUUUUAGCACAAAACAUUGAAUUUUGUGCACAUUGAAUUUUGUGGAAAUCCAUCUAGGUGUGUCGGAUCUUAAGGUUUUUUUUAGCACAAAAAACUGAAUUUUGUGCGCUUUGAAUUUUGUGGAAAUCCAUCAAGGUGUGUCGGAUCUUAAGCUUUUUUUUAGCACAAAACAUUGAAUUUUGUGCGCUUUGAAUUUUGUGGAAAUCCAUCUAGAUGUGUCGGAUCUUGAGGCCAAGCCCCAGUGAAACCCCGAGGGGCCGAUUUAAGCUUUUUUUUAGCACAAAACAUUGAAUUUUGUGCGCAUUGAAUUUUUGUGGAAAUCCAUCUAGGUGUGUCAGAUCUUGAGGCCAACCCCAGUGAAACCCCGAGGGGCCAAUUUAAGCCUUUUUUUAGCACAAAAAACUGAAUUUUGUGUGCAUUGAAUUUUGUGGAAAUCCAUCUAGGUGUGUCGGAUCUUAAGCUUUUUUUUAGCACAAAACAUUGAAUUUUGUGCGCUUUGAAUUUUGUGGAAAUCCAUCUAGAUGUGUCAGAUCUUGAGGCCAACCCCAG